rnacentral:rRNA from 1 species
UUGGUGCCUUCGGGAACAUUGAGACAGGUGCUGCAUGGCUGUCGUCAGCUCGUGUCGUGAGAUGUUGGGUUAAGUCCCGUAACGAGCGCAACCCUUGUCCUUAGUUACCAGCACGUAAUGGUGGGCACUCUAAGGAGACUGCCGGUGACAAACCGGAGGAAGGUGGGGAUGACGUCAAGUCAUCAUGGCCCUACGGCCUGGGCUACACACGUGCUACAAUGGUCGGUACAGAGGGUUGCCAAGCCGCGAGGUGGAGCUAAUCCCAGAAAACCGAUCGUAGUCCGGAUCGCAGUCUGCAACUCGACUGCGUGAAGUCGGAAUCGCUAGUAAUCGCGAAUCAGAAUGUCGCGGUGAAUACGUUCCCGGGCCUUGUACACACCGCCCGUCACACCAUGGGAGUGGGUUGCACCAGAAGUAGCUAGUCUAACCUUCGG